GACGAACGCUGGCGGCGUGCCUAAUACAUGCAAGUAGGACGCACAGUCUAUACCGUAGCUUGCUACACCAUAGGCUGUGAGUUGCGAACGGGUGAGUAACGCGUAGGUAACCUGCCUAUUAGAGGGGGAUAACUAUUGGAAACGAUAGCUAAUACCGCAUAACAGUAUGUAACACAUGUUAGAUGCUUGAAAGAUGCAAUUGCAUCGCUAGUAGAUGGACCUGCGUUGUAUUAGCUAGUAGGUAGGGUAAUGGCCUACCUAGGCGACGAUACAUAGCCGACCUGAGAGGGUGAUCGGCCACACUGGGACUGAGACACGGCCCAGACUCCUACGGGAGGCAGCAGUAGGGAAUCUUCGGCAAUGGGGGGAACCCUGACCGAGCAACGCCGCGUGAGUGAAGAAGGUUUUCGGAUCGUAAAGCUCUGUUGUUAAGGAAGAACGAGUGUGAGAAUGGAAAGUUCAUACUGUGACGGUACUUAACCAGAGAGGGACGGCUAACUACGUG
rnacentral:rRNA from 1 species